UUGGGUAAUUACUCCUCGAUGGAAGGUGUUCUUUAUUGCAAGCCUCAUUUUGAGCAACUCUUCAAGGAGACGGCUAUAGAGUCAGCUGAGAAGUUAACUUCCGAGCUGGUAAAUAUCCCUUGCAACACCAAAUGUGUUUGAUGUUUGAUUACAUAAAGAGCUAAAAGUUGUUAUUAGAUGAGGAUAUCUGAUGAAAUUAUAUCUAAGCAGGCAUUUUGCAUUUGCUAAUGCUUCAUCUCUGAUAAUACCAAAUGGUGGAAGUUAAUGUUCCUCAACUUCUCUUGGAAGAAUAAAGGCACAACUUCGAACAAAUGUGCCUAACAAGAUACUUGAAAGAAUUGAUUCCAAAUGCUGCUAUUGAUGAAUUCUGUAAGUCAUUUUAUGUUAAUUUAUGUAAUUGCUUUAAAGGUGAUUUUUUUCUAGCAUUAUCAUUGGAAUUGUUCUCUGUUGGAUCCUUAUCAGGAUUUUCUGAUGUAUUGUUCUCUACUAGGAACUUCCUUGUUUUUGAUGACUCGUAAUCCUAGGGGUCUCUUUUUUAAGCUUCUGGUGGCAGUUUCUAUUAGCGAAACGCAGCAAGGUCUUGAGGUUUGUUGGCUUGGCUCUAAUUUUAUUUUUGUGACAGAAGCAUUUCUUUAUUACCUUGCUUUUGGCUCCUAUUGUUUUCAGUCUUCUUUUCCAUCUUGUCCUUGUUGAACUUAGCCACUUCAUAGAGAUUUUAUUGUAAUUGUACAGCUCUGUUACCACACCAAUUUUUAUGCCAUUAAAGUCUUAGGCUAAUAAGACAAAAGACUUGCCAUGGCAUCCAUUGGUGAUGGAUUAAUAUAAUUAUGCUUUUUAGAAAAAUAUUACCUAUUAUAUGAACUACUUGCAAAUGAAUUUUAUCUUGCAACUUAAUCUUUACAGCUAAGGAAGGCUGGGAACCGCAAUGUCAGCUAGGUUUGUUAGGUUGGAGAAUGGACAAACAAAUAUGUAUAGAGAGGAAUUGGAGAGAAAAAGAGAGAAAGAGAGAGAUGACUAAAAUUAGUUGAGGAAAAUGAUUGUAAAGAUUGAUUUUUAGACAUUUUAAAUGUUGUAAAGACCUUUGAAAAUGAUUUUUAAAGCAUUUGAUUUUUGAGGCAUUAGUUCUACAAUUUGAUUUUA